rfam:Niabella soli DSM 19437, complete genome.
GCCGAAGUAGCUCAGUUGGUAGAGCAGCUGAUUUGUAAUCAGCAGGUCGCGGGUUCGACUCCCUUCUUCGGCU